rnacentral:rRNA from 1 species
UACGGAGGGGGUUAGCGUUGUUCGGAAUUACUGGGCGUAAAGCGCGCGUAGGCGGAUUAGAAAGUUGGGGGUGAAAUCCCGGGGCUCAACCCCGGAACGGCCUCCAAAACUAUCAGUCUAGAGUUCGAGAGAGGUGAGUGGAACUCCGAGUGUAGAGGUGAAAUUCGUAGAUAUUCGGAGGAACACCAGUGGCGAAGGCGGCUCACUGGCUCGAUACUGACGCUGAGGUGCGAAAGCGUGGGGAGCAAACAGG